rnacentral:lncRNA from 1 species
GUAGUAGUAGUAGUGGUAUGGGUGGUAAUGGUAAUGAUAGCAGUUUAGUGGGGGUGGUGGUAGUAGUAGUGGUAUGGGUGGUAAUGGUAAUGAUAGCAGUUUAGUGAUGGUGGUGGUAGUAGUAGUGGUAUGGGUGGUAAUGGUAAUGAUAGCAGUUUAGUGAUGGUGGUGGUAGUAGUAGUGGUAUGGGUGGUAAUGGUAAUGAUAACAGUUUAGUGAUGUAGUAGUAGUAGUAGUGGUAUGGGUGGUAAUGGUAAUGAUAGCAGUUUAG